GCCUGUUCUGCCUAUGCCUAAGGACGGCCCUGACUUGAUUCUUGGAACACUGAAGAAGUUUCAGGAGAUUAGAAGUACCGGUUUUUAAACCAUGCCUAUCACCAUGAUGAUGGAACUAUUUCUUUAGUGAUGUAUUGAUUACUUUACAGUUACUGACCAAGAACCAAAAGG